rnacentral:rRNA from 1 species
GACGAACGCUGGCGGCGCGCUUAACACAUGCAAGUCGAGCGAGAACCAGGGCUUCGGCCCUGGGGACAGCGGCGAACGGGUGAGUAACACGUGGGUAAUCUGCCCUCGGCGCCGGGAUAGCCCGGGGAAACCCGGAUUAAUACCGGAUGUCCCCUCAGCCCCUCGGGGCGGUGGGAAAAGGUAGCUUCGGCCUCCGGCCGAGGAGGAGCCCGCGGCCGAUUAGCUUGUUGGCGGGGUAACGGCCCACCAAGGCGACGAUCGGUAGCUGGUGUGAGAGCAUGAGCAGCCACACUGGGACUGAGACACGGCCCAGACUCCUACGGGAGGCAGCAGUGGGGAAUCUUGCGCAAUGGGCGAAAGCCUGACGCAGCGACGCCGCGUGCGGGAAGAAGGCCUUCGGGUUGUAAACCGCUUUCAGGAGGGACGAAGCCACUCGGGUUAAUAGCCCAGAGGGUGACGGUACCUCCAGAAGAAGCCCCGGCUAACUACGUGCCAGCCGCCGCCGUAAGAC